AACGAACGCUGGCGGCAGGCUUAACACAUGCAAGUCGAACGCCCCGCAAGGGGAGUGGCAGACGGGUGAGUAACGCGUGGGGAUCUACCUAUUUCUACGGAACAACAGUUGGAAACGACUGCUAAUACCGUAUACGCCCUACGGGGGAAAGAUUUAUCGGAAUUAGAUGAGCCCGCGUAAGAUUAGCUAGUUGGUGGGGUAAUGGCCUACCAAGGCGACGAUCUUUAGCUGGUCUGAGAGGAUGAUCAGCCAUACUGGGACUGAGACACGGCCCAGACUCCUACGGGAGGCAGCAGUGGGGAAUAUUGGACAAUGGGCGCAAGCCUGAUCCAGCCAUGCCGCGUGAGUGAUGAAGGCCUUAGGGUUGUAAAGCUCUUUCACCGAUGAAGAUAAUGACGGUAGUCGGAGAAGAAGCCCCGGCUAACUUCGUGCCAGCCGCCGCAGUAA
rnacentral:rRNA from 1 species